CUGGGUUUAAAACGUCGUGAGACAGUUUGGUCCCUAUCUGCCGUGGGCGUAGGAGAUUUGAGAGGAUCUGUUCCUAGUACGAGAGGACCGGAAUGGACGAACCUCUAGUGUACCUGUUGUCUCGCCAGAGGCAGUUGCAGGGUAGCUAUGUUCGGAAAGGAUAACCGCUGAAAGCAUCUAAGCGGGAAGCCCCCCUCAAGACAAGAUCUCCCUGGACUUCGGUCCCUAAAGGUCCGUCGUAGACGACGACGUUGAUAGGCCGGCGGUGUAAGCACAGCAAUGUGUUCAGCUAACCGGUACUAAUUGACCGUGAGGCUUGACCAU
rnacentral:rRNA from 1 species